rnacentral:ncRNA from 2 species
AAAAUGAAUGCAGGAGAGCAGUGCUAAACACUCGCCGAAGGAGCAACGACCCCGGAAACUCUCAGGCAAAAGGACUGUAUUCAUGAC